AUUAGUUUUUUAAUUGAAGGCUAGAAUGAAUGGUCGGACAAGAAAUAAUCUGUCUUAGAUUAAUAUAUUGAAUUUAACUUUUAAGUGAAAAGGCUUAAAUAAUUUGAAGGGACGAUAAGACCCUAUAAAACUUUAUAUUAAAAAGUGAUGUGUAAGUUUUGUUUAAAGGUUAUUACUUUAAAGUAUUUGGUUGGGGUGACAGGAAUAGAAUAGAAAGUAACUGUUCUUUUUUUUUUACAGUAGUGUUUGAGUUAGUGAUCCUAAAAUGGAUUAAAGAUUAAGUUACUUUAGGGAUAACAGCGUAAUUUUCUUUAAGAGUUCUUAUCGAUAAGAAAGUUUGCGACCUCGAUGUUGAAUUAAAGGUUCUUUAUGGAGUAGAGACUAUAAGAGAAGGGAU
rnacentral:rRNA from 1 species